CGUACAGUGGUUUAGUGGUUAGCAUGUUUGCCUCACGCCGCCAGGAUCGGGGGUUCGAUUCCCAGCACUGCCCUGUAUGU